rnacentral:lncRNA from 1 species
ACGCCUCACCAGAACAGCACGUAGCAGGCCCCUGUGGAGGAUUAACACAGUGGCUGAACACCGGGAAGGAACUGGCACUUGGAGUCCGGACAUCUGAAACUUGAAUUGACAAGCCGACAUCAGUCUCCAGAGUGAAUCCAAGGAGUGGACCCAAGACAUUUGUGUUCUGUGAUGUGGUGGCAUGUUACCUGUCAUCUCCGAUGCAUAACUCCUAAAGUGCGUCUGGGGCAGUUGUACAGAUUGCAGAGGAUAAUACUCAAGAUGUUCUCCAAGGCCAACUAGUCAUCAGUUUAUUCAUGUUUCUGGGAUUGGAUUCAUGAACUCAUCCUUUGAACUAUUUCAACAAGCUUUUUCAUGUAACUAAUCUGCGGAAGGUAGAAAGGGGAAAACUGUUGGGUGCUAAAAUGACAACUGGUUCAAGAGCUCCCAAGAUGGUGGUGGGCCACUUCCAAGAUGGUGGCAAGAGUCGUAUUCUCUGACCUGGGGUUCUUGGUCUCAUGGAUUCCAAGGAAUGGAAUCUUGCGCCAUGUGUCCAAAGAAGAAGGAAGAAGAAAGGGGAUAUAAUGAGAAUGAGAAGCGUCAGAUAAUUAGGCAGCAGUCCAACAAUUAGGUUUUGUGGAACUUUUACUAUGUCAUCUAUUUAUUGGAAUUCCCCCUGGAUACCAGGACCCCCUCCAGCAGAGCUUAAAGUUAUAGUUACAGGAAGUACAAAUUCCUUAUGUGGAUCCCUGGAAGUGUGAUGAGAAGAACCACUGUUUCCAAGAUCUAUUUAUUCUAUUUAUCAGGCCUAUAAAAUCAUGUAAUGGCCAUGGCUUCAACUAGACUCC